rnacentral:rRNA from 1 species
AUGAAAGUCUUCUUGGAGCUUUUGCCUGGGCCAUUUGGGAUCUGUAUGUUGGCCAUUGUCCCCCCUUCACAUUAUAUGUUUUUAAAUUUAUUUCGUGGUCUUGCUAUGGUUUUUGUUUUCAUUUUGCCAAAGGUUGCAGUAUGGAAACCAUCCUCUAUCUCUAUAUCAAUACCACUAUCUUUUUCACCAUCUUCGGACAUCAUGACAUUAAUUCGAUUUGAUACCUCAUGUUCUUUACUUCACACUCUUAGUAAUUCCUUAUUCGUAACUAUUGUUUUCAAAGUUGCAUAUAUUUGUGAUCAUAGACAUCCGAUGGUUCCACAUUUUUCUUGGUAA